UAACGCAAUACCCUAACAUUCUCACUUACACUCUCCUUCACUUCUGCGCCGCACAGCUCCUGGACUAGAGUCUCUCUGCACUCUCCUCCUCACAUAGUCAAUCGGCCUCUCAACCAUUGCAGUCACAGCCCAUCCAUUUUCUUCCUUUCGCAGUUUGUACUCGCCCUUUCCCUCUCUCGCAGUCGCAGCCUCUCCCUUUCCUUCUCUCGCAGUCGAAGCCGCCGCCAUUCAUCGCAUGUCGCCCGUCAGUCGCACUUGGUCGCCCGUCGCCCGUCGCCCGUCGCCCGUUCGUCGUUGAAGCCGUGUUGUCUGUCCAGUCUCUUCUUCUCUGUCAUCCUCUGUAAUGGAACCUAGGGCUCAGGAAAGAGGAAGGUGAAAGAGAAAGAAUCUGUGGAAUUGGUGCACCACAUGAAAAUUUUUAGAAUUAGUUUGGUUGUAAUUCUGAUUGUCUCUUGCCUUUUUUUUUUUUUGCUUCUUGAUUUACUGAGUCUGGUUAAUUAUCUAACUUGAAUUUGUGGUUUGGUGUUCUAAUUUAUGUUCUUUUAAUUUUAUUGUUGUUCUAAUUUUGACCUGUUUCUAAUAAUUUAUUCAAUUUUUCUUGGACAUAUAUUAUUAUCUGGUUAUGGUUCUCUUUGCUGAAUUCAAUCGUUAGAGAUAAUAAUGAUUGACCUGUAAAACAUAAUCAACAUAUAGUGAAUUAUGUUGCUGCAACAUUCAUAUUUUUUUAGAAGACAGUUUUAAAUCACCUGAUUUAUGUACAACGUACAGCAUAUAGUGAAUUAUGUUGAUGGUUAUGCACUUAUGCCUGUGAUUUUGGUAAAUUGACCUGAAGCAUUAGUUCAAAUAAUUCAGUUAAUCAUUCAUUGUACUUUCUUUCCAUUGUAUUAAUCUUGUGAAAUGAAACUUGGGGUUAUUUUUGAAGCAAAAAUUUUCCAGGAAGUUCUGUGUAAUUUGUAAAUCUGUGAAUUGUAUAAUUAUGUUUUUAUGAUUCUGGUUUUAGCUAUGUUUGUCUUUGUUUGUGUCUCUCUUGGAUUGUGAAUUUGUGAUGCUGUGACAUGCCUUGUUUUGUUUGGCUAAUUUUUUUUACCUUUUAAAUAGUAUUAGCUUCCUGAUUUGAUUAGUUUUGUUUAUUCUAGUUUAGUUUUAUACGAGCUUGCUUGAAUUUGAUAUUUUUUGUGUUGAGCACUUGAAUCCUUUCUUGAUUGAAUGUGCUAACUAGAUUUGAAGGUGCAUUUGAAGGUGCACUUAGAAGUUCUUGUUGGAUUUGUGAACAUGAAAGGAGAUAUUAUUGGUUUAAAUUUAGUCUGUAUUCUAUUUCAUCUGCAUUAUCACUGUUAAAAAUAAUUGUGUUGUUAACAAAGGUACCAAUGUAAAGAUAACAUCUCCAUCCGUUUUAAUCACUGGUGCUAUACUAUUGUUAUUAUUAUUUGCCUUUUGAUUUCAGGUUGGUUUGCUUAAAGAUGUUUGGCUGUUUUGCAGGCGAGAACACCAAAACAUGAUUGUCUUUUGCUGAAAAAUUAUUUUUAUCUUUUAUUGUAUUGACUAUUGAACUUUUAAUGACUUUAAUUGUCAUAUUAUAAUUUCUUUUG